AUGCUUUUGUUAUCUCUGUCUGAACAUUUUCUUAUUACCCUUUCAGUGCCUGCUCUCAUGAAGAUGAAUGUGUCCUGUUCGUCAAUGCCGGUGGGUAUAUCUGAGAAAACUGCAAAGGAAGCAGAAGACAAUGUGCUCCCGAGAGAGAUGUACAAUAUUCAAUACUCUUAUGUCCCGCACAAUGCACCGCACAAGGUCCCUGCUCCCUUCCCUGCUGCAGUGAGGAGACGAGAGAGGAGAUUGCUGGAUCUGGAAAUGGAGGCCAGCACCACCUACAGGACAAGAGCGCCAGUCCUCUCCGACUCUUCAAGGUCUCUCAUGCUCUGCUCUUGCUCUGGCUGA
rnacentral:rRNA from 1 species